rnacentral:rRNA from 1 species
UUAAAGCACUUUUAGUUGGGGGAAGAAAGAUCAUUGAAUGAAUAAGUCAGUGAAGUGACGUUACCCAAAGAAUAAGCACCGGCUAACUCUGUGC